rnacentral:rRNA from 1 species
AGUGAACGCUGGCGGCAGGCCUAAUACAUGCAAGUCGAACGGCAGCACAGCAGAGCUUGCUCUGUGGGUGGCGAGUGGCGGACGGGUGAGGAAUACAUGGGAAUCUGCCCAGUCGUGGGGGAUAACGUAGGGAAACUUACGCUAAUACCGCAUGCGCCCUUCGGGGGAAAGCCGGGGACCUUCGGGCCUGGCGCGAUUGGAUGAGCCCAUGUCGGAUUAGCUAGUUGGUGGGGUAAAGGCCCACCAAGGCGACGAUCCGUAGCUGGUCUGAGAGGAUGACCAGCCACACUGGAUCUGAGAAACGGUCCAGACUCCUACGGGGGGCAGCAGUAGGGAAUAUUGGACAAUGGGCGCAAGCCUGAUCCAGCCAUGCCGCGUGAGUGAAGAAGGCCUUCGGGUUGUAAAGCUCUUUUGUCCGGAAAGAAAAGCAUCCAGUUAAUACCUGGGUGUCCUGACGGUACCGGAAGAAUAAGCACCGGCUAACUUCGUGCCAGCAGCCGCCGUAAAAC